rnacentral:sRNA from 1 species
GAGCUGUACAAAGAUGCUGAUGAGGGGCUGCAGCAUGCAAUUCACUUCACCAGCAGUCACUAAGAGUCUUGCUCUGUAGCCAGGCUGGAGUGCAGUGGCACAAUCUCGGCUCACUGCAACCUUCACCUCCUGGGUUCAAGAAAUUCACCUGCCUCAGCCUCCCAAAUAGUUGGGACUACAGAGGAAAGGCCAUGUAAAGACAGAGAAAAGGCUGCCCUCUGCAGGCCAGGAAGAGAGGCCUCACCAGAAACCAACUUGGACUUCUAGCAUCUAGAACUAUGUUUAUUGUAAGGAUUAAAUCAGCUAAACCAAGAAAAGCCUCAAGGAUGGUGCCUGGCAAACUGCACGCUGUUAAUACGUAUUAGUGGACCCUUCUUCACACCUUCCUGCUACACUAAAGCAGAGAGAAUUACCUUCUGAAUCAUGUUUGCAGAACUUCUGGGCACAGUGACUCAACUCCCAGCUAUUCUUGUCAUGGAUUUUUUUCUCUUGGAGUCAAUCCAGCUAUGGAGAUCACUGGUCUUGUGAAUUUUUUCUCUUUCAGUAUGAAAUCAUUAGAACUGAGAAAAUGAAAACAUUCCUGUUAUUACUUCCUGAGAGAAAGAAAUUUAGUAACAUGCUUUGGUAGGAAUUGUUCUUAUUUCUCCUGCUGUGUCCCUCUUGCUGGUCCCACCAGGGCUCUUGGUGCUGAUCCUGAUUUACACCAGGAGCAUAAUCUGAUCAAAAAGAGGGAAACUAAAGAAAAGAGGCAGGAUUAUAUGAGGGGUUCUCACAAUGGCAGUACAUAAUCCCUUAUACCUCGUAUUAUGUAGCCCCCUCUGUUUCCAAGUUACCUUUGUAAUUUAGGUAAGUGAGC